UACAGAGGGUGCGAGCGUUAAUCGGAAUUACUGGGCGUAAAGCGUGCGUAGACGGUUAUUUAAGUCGGGUGUGAAAACCCGGGGCUCAACCCCCGGGCCUGCAUUCGAUACGGGCAGACUAGAGUUCGGUAGGGGAGUCUGGAAUUCCUGGUGUAGCGGUGAAAUGCGCAGAUAUCAGGAGGAACACCGGUGGCGAAGGCGGUUCUCUGGGCCUUACCUGACGCUGAGGAGCGAAAGCAUGGGGAGCAAACAGG
rnacentral:rRNA from 1 species